UACGUAGGGGGCGAGCGUUAUCCGGAUUUAUUGGGCGUAAAGCGUGUGUAGGUGGUUUAUUAAGUUUAAGAUUAAAGCCCGAGGCUUAACCUCGGUUCGUCUUAAAAACUGGUAGACUUGAGUGUAGUAGAGGUAAGUGGAAUUUCUAGUGUAGCGGUUAAAUGCGUAGAUAUUAGAAGGAACACCAGUGGGGAAGCCGGCUUACUGGGCUAUUACUGACACUGAGACACGAAAGCGUGGGGAGCAAAUAGG
rnacentral:rRNA from 1 species